GCCAGGUGUGGUGGUGUGCACCUGUAGUCCUUGCUACUCGGGAGGCUGUGGUGGGAAGAUCGCUUGAGCCUAGGAGUUUGAGGCUGCAGUGAGCUAUGAUCAUGCCACUGCACUCUGGCCUGGGCAACAGAGUGAGAUCCUGUCUCUA
ensembl:misc_RNA Metazoa_SRP Metazoan signal recognition particle RNA